GAUGUCAUAAUCACUGUGCUAUUUCAGCACAUUACUCAUGUGUUUGUGGUGAUGCUGACGGAAACAAGCCUGCUGUGCUGCCAGUUGUACGAAGAUCUUGUAAACACUCGUGGGAAGGAGGGGCAGUCAUCUCAGAACCAUGAGAACAAAGCCCUGUGCUAAAGAUGGAUAAGAGGAACACAAAAUGAUUUGGGGUUCAUGAUGCAAGCUAUGCACAAUGGCUCUCAUCUUGGAUCACUUCUCCAGAAUUUUUAAGACAAAUGCACUUUACCUACUAAAGCAAGUUUUGGCAUUAGAAUGAGAUCCUGGUCCUUUCUUAUGCAGUGAGAGUAAUUAUCUAUCUCCACCGAUGCUGACAGCAGGAGUCACAGCACGCAGUAGGAGGUGGGGCCCGUUGAACACAAUGGAGCAGUUGGGAUCACAGCUGUGGUUGAGUAAGGACACACUGAAAACAGAGAGGAAGAUCAUCACGGCUCAGCAGAUGGAGUGAAACAGCUACACUUGGUGGGAGUGCAGAUAUCUCAGACACCAGCCAGAUAACAUGAAGAUGGAGAGAAAAAAUGACGUGUAAAGAAAUCAUCUUUGAGAUAACAGGAUGCAGCAGCAAUCACUGCAGCUAAGAUGCCACUGACCUUUCCCACAAAGGAUCUCAUUUAGCGUCUCUACUACAACAUAAUAAUGAGGUGGACUUCCUCUUCCAAGGAAGUUGAGAGGGUCUUCCUAACUAGAUGUUCAUGCGCUCUGGGGCAUAGCCUCAUCAUUUUAUUACACUGAAAGUGCAGUCUUUAACAUCUGGGAAAUGGACUGUAUUUAAACUUCCACCAUAAAUUGAUAAUAAUUAGAACAAGCAUUUGCUGUACAGACAGUACUUUCUUAAUGCUUGAGCAUGUUUAUCUAAUGCAGUCAUCACAAUGACUUUACAGUGCUCGCUUCAGCAGCACAUAUACAAUGAUUCUACAAAGAUCAUUUGCAGAUGAAGAGACAGAUACACAGAGGUUAAAUAAUUCACCCAAGCAUACACACGAGUGAGUGGUGACUCAAUUUGAACCAGGUGGCCUGAACUCAGAGCCCAUGCUCUGAACCAUUCUGCGCUAUUGGCUUUUGAGAACCAAUACUAAUAGACCUGACUUGCAGCUAAUGGCACUUGUGGGAAAGAAGAAGCCAAAUUCUCAAAUUUGUGGUUAAUUAUAAAAAAGAAUAUAUUUAUACUUGACCCCAAAUGACAUAAAAACAAAAUGAAAGUAGGAAUGACACUAGUGCUCGUGGAAGGGCAGCACAGUAGCUCAGGGACAAAGGUCAUCACAGUGACAGUUGUAGAAGCAGUGCAGAUAGCCAAUCUUGAAAGUUUUCUUGCCUUCUGGAGCUUUGGGGCUCAGAGUAUGCUAAUGCAAAUGACAAAAGGGACCCACUACUAUGAGGCAGUAAGUCUGAUAAGAUUCACACGUGUUUCAGCACAGGGAGUAGGGCAGUAAGAUCAGGGACGGUGUAGGGGAUAACCAAACCUCAGCUUGACAGUUAACUGGUACCCACAAUCCUCAACUUCCUACCCCAAAGCUCCUAAGAACAAAAAUUUAGUUCUGAGGCCUGCCUCUUCAUUAACAGCAUAGCACAUAAAGUGCAGUUAUAAAACUUAACAUUUUUACAUCUUCUUGUAAUUCAUCACUAAGUUACCAGCCUGGCUCUUGAGCCAGUUGCUGUGAUAUCAUUCUAACUGCCUCCAAAAGGCUGGGAACUGGGUGAGAAUUAAGGUCGUGUCUUCCAGGCAAUGA